rnacentral:rRNA from 1 species
CACGUAGGGGGCGAGCGUUGUCCGGAUUUAUUGGGCGUAAAGAGCUCGUAGGCGGCUCAGUAAGUCGGGUGUGAAACCUCCAGGCUCAACCUGGAGACGCCACCCGAUACUGCUGUGGCUAGAGUCCGGUGGGGGAGCAUGGAAUUCCUGGUGUAGCGGUGAAAUGCGCAGAUAUCAGGAGGAACACCAGUGGCGAAGGCGGUGCUCUGGGCCGGAACUGACGCUGAGGAGCGAAAGCGUGGGGAGCAAACAGG